rnacentral:rRNA from 1 species
UACGUAGGCAGCAAGCGUUGUUCGGAAUUACUGGGCGUAAAGAGUGUGUAGGCGGUGUUCUAAGUUUGUCGUGAAAUCUCCCGGCUUAACUGGGAGGGUGCGGCGAAAACUGGAAUGCUAGAGGAUGGGAGAGGUAAGCGGAAUUCCUGGUGUAGCGGUGAAAUGCGUAGAUAUCGGGAGGAACACCGGUGGCGAAGGCGGUUCUCUGGGCCUUACCUGACGCUGAGGAGCGAAAGCGUGGGGAGCGAACAGG